rnacentral:rRNA from 1 species
GACGAACGCUGGCGGCGUGCUUAACACAUGCAAGUCGAACGGAAAGGCCCUGCUUUUUUCGGGUGCCAGCGUGGGGAGCGGGUGAGUAACAAAUGAGUAACCUGCCUUUGACUUGGGGAUAACCUCAAGAAAGCGGGGAUAACUCCUACUGCGUGCGCCUGAAUCUUGGUGGGGGUCGGACAUUUUCGGCGGAUGGGGAUGGACUCCCGGCUAAUCAGCUUGUGGGUGGGGUAGUGGCUUACCCAGGCUUUGACGGGUAGCCGGCCUGGGAGGGUGACCGGGCACAUUGGGACUGAGGUACGGCCCAGAGGGCUACGUGAGGCAGCAGUGGAGAAUAUUGCACAAUGGGCGGAAGCCUGAUGCAGCAACGUCGGGUUCGUGAUGACGGCCUACGGGGUGUAAACGGCUUUCGGCUGAUACGGAGCGGGAGUGACGGUAAUGGGUAAAGAAGCACCGGCUAACUACGUG